rnacentral:rRNA from 1 species
AGUGAACGCUGGCGGUAGGCCUAACACAUGCAAGUCGAACGGCAGCACAGAGGAGCUUGCUCCUUGGGUGGCGAGUGGCGGACGGGUGAGGAAUACAUCUGAAUCUACUCUGUCGAGGGGGAUAACGUAGGGAAACUUACGCUAAUACCGCAUACGACCUACGGGUGAAAGCAGGGGACCUUCGGGCCUUGCGCGAUUGAAUGAGCCGAUGUCGGAUUAGCUAGUUGGCGGGGUAAAGGCCCACCAAGGCGACGAUCCGUAGCUGGUCUGAGAGGAUGAUCAGCCACACUGGAACUGAGACACGGUCCAGACUCCUACGGGAGGCAGCAGUGGGGAAUAUUGGACAAUGGGCGCAAGCCUGAUCCAGCCAUACCGCGUGGGUGAAGAAGGCCUUCGGGUUGUAAAGCCCUUUUGUUGGGAAAGAAAUCCAGCUGGCUAAUACCCGGUUGGGAUGACGGUACCCAAAGAAUAAGCACCGGCUAACUUCGUGCCAGCCGCCGCGGUAA